rnacentral:rRNA from 1 species
UACGAAGGGGGCUAGCGUUGCUCGGAAUCACUGGGCGUAAAGCGCACGUAGGCGGAUCGUUAAGUCAGGGGUGAAAUCCUGGAGCUCAACUCCAGAACUGCCUUUGAUACUGGCGACCUAGAGUCCGGAAGAGGUGAGUGGAACUCCUAGUGUAGAGGUGGAAUUCGUAGAUAUUAGGAAGAACACCAGUGGCGAAGGCGGCUCACUGGUCCGGUACUGGACGCUAAGGUGCGAAAGCGUGGGGAGCAAACAGG